rnacentral:tRNA from 4 species
CAGAAAGUUAGUCUAGCCAAGACA